UAUCUUUCGCAACACAAACAAAAGCAAUAUUCAUCAAGGAUAUAUUAAAUGAUCUCUCAACAGCAUAACAAUGAACGGUAUGUGACAUUUGUACAAUGGAAGACAGCUUGUUCAAUUAAACCUGGCAAAUAUUAAAAAUAUAUUAACCCUUUGAUACGUACAAACCAUAGAUAUAUUUAUUUUUAUACUUAUACUCAAGAUCUUCAAGAACACUGUUGAAUAUACAUUUUUAGUUUCAAAAAGCAAAAUAAAAUAAGUUUUUAUAGUUGGCAGAAAGAAAUGUACAAACAGCAUAAAUUCAAUAUCUCUGAAUAUUUUUUAACAAAUAUAUUAACAUAAUAUUUAUACAUUUGGUUCCACUUUGUAAACUAAUCUGACUUGUAAGUAUUGCAUAUAGAAAAGGUGAAUGAAAGCUACCUAAGAAGCAAGAUCUUCCCAAGAAUCAAGUAGAAUAUUCAUGUGUCACUCUUUUUCAGGGCUUUAAACAUCAAAUAAAAAUACUAUCAACACAUCUAUGUCAGUGCUAUUCAUGUGUUUUUAGAUAAGGGAUUUAUUAAGAUAUGAACAAAACAUGUUUCACCAAUGCAAUGCUUAUUGUUUAUUUUCUUAGCAGCUUACUUGCUUAGUAUUUUAAUAUAAGACACUAGUAUAUUGCGUUGGAUGAAGAGUAUUUUUAAAUGUUAUGAAAAUGCUAAGCACAUUACAGCUUUUAUUUAGUUCACAACA